GACGAACGCUGGCGGCGUGCCUAAUACAUGCGAGUCGAGCGGACGAAUCGAAAGCUUGCUUUUGAUUCGUUAGCGGCGGACGGGUGAGUAACACGUGGGCAACCUGCCCUGUAGACGGGGAUAACACCGAGAAAUCGGUGCUAAUACCGGAUAACACGAAAUGUCGCAUGACGUUUCGUUGAAAGACGGCGCAAGCUGUCGCUACAGGAUGGGCCCGCGGCGCAUUAGCUAGUUGGUGAGGUAACGGCUCACCAAGGCGACGAUGCGUAGCCGACCUGAGAGGGUGAUCGGCCACACUGGGACUGAGACACGGCCCAGACUCCUACGGGAGGCAGCAGUAGGGAAUCUUCCGCAAUGGACGAGAGUCUGACGGAGCAACGCCGCGUGAGCGAAGAAGGCCUUCGGGUCGUAAAGCUCUGUUGUUAGGGAAGAACAAGUAACGCAGUAACUGGCGUUACCGUGACGGUACCUAACGAGAAAGCCACGGCUAACUACGUG
rnacentral:rRNA from 1 species